rnacentral:rRNA from 1 species
UACAGAGACCUCAAGCGUUAUCCGGAAUCAUUGGGCGUAAAGCGUACCGAUAGGGGGUUUUGAGUGUUUUGGGUAAAAGCCAGAAGCUCAACUUCUGAGUUUGCUCAAAAUACUGCAAAACUAGAGGGGCAAAGAGGAGACUGGAACGAACGGUGUAGUAGUGAAAUGCGUUGAUAUCGUUCGGAACACCGAAAGCGAAGGCAGGUCUCUGGGUGCCACCUGACACUGCUAGGACGAAAGCGUGGGGAGCGAAUGGG